CCCGGCACAAGCGGUGGAGUAUGUGGUUUAAUUCGAUGCAACGCGAAGAACCUUACCUAGGUUUGACAUCCGGAAGACCUUCCCGAAAAGGAAGGGUGGCCCUUCGGGGAAUUCCGAGGACAGGUGCUGCAUGGCUGUCGUCAGCUCGUGCCGUGAGGUGUUGGGUUAAGUCCCGCAACGAGCGCAACCCUAUUGCCAGUUGCUACCAGGUAAUGCUGGGCACUCUGGUGAGACUGCCCGGUUAACGGGGAGGAAGGUGGGGACGACGUCAAGUCAUCAUGGCCCUUACGCCUAGGGCUACACACGUACUACAAUGGCGCAUACAAAGGGCAGCGAUACCGCGAGGUGGAGCCAAUCCCAAAAAGUGCGUCCCAGUCCGGAUUGCAGUCUGCAACUCGACUGCAUGAAGUUGGAAUCGCUAGUAAUUCGAGAUCAGCAUGCUCGGGUGAAUGCGUUCCCGGGCCUU
rnacentral:rRNA from 1 species